rnacentral:rRNA from 1 species
GUCCGCACUGUAAACGAUGAUUACUCGCUGCUAGGGGGCAACUCUUAGUGGCUUAGCGAAAGCGAUAAGUAAUCCACCUGGGGAGUACGCCGGCAACGGUGAAACUCAAAGGAAUUGACGGGGGCCCCGCACAAGCGGAGGAGCAUGUGGUUUAAUUCGAUGAUACGCGAGGAACCUUACCAGGGCUUGAAAGUUAGGGAAUGAUUCUGAAAGGAGUCAGUCAGCAAUGACCCGAAACUAGGUGCUGCAUGGCUGUCGU